AAAAAAAAAAAAAACUUAUAAAUAAAAAAAACUUUGUGAUUUCACUUAUUUUUCACUUCAAAAUCCGUGAUUCACAUUGUGACAACAUGAUAUUCUAAAAUUUCAUUCCGUUAGCAAACCACCACUUUCCAUCUUUUUCUGUCAAAAUCUACCGAUGUGGCAUGAAAUAUUUAAUUAAAUUUUUUUUUUAAUGUAAUAUGAGUCCCACUUCUCUUUCCACUUCGUCUUCUUCUUCCCUGAGGCUAAAUCUUAUUAUCUUUUUAAUGGGUAUACUCACUUGUCCUCUGGUUUUGCUUGUGGACUUGCUGAUUUAUUUGCUGAUAUGGCAAUGGGAUCGUUGCUGAUACUGGGGUUCGAGCUAAGAAGUUGUUCAUAGGAAUGAUUCUUAUGAGUCCUCUGGAGUCCGGGCAUGCACAACAAC
rnacentral:misc_RNA from 1 species